CCUACGGGAGGCAGCAGUGAGGAAUAUUGGUCAAUGGGCGCGAGCCUGAACCAGCCAAGUCGCGUGAAGGAUGACUGCCCUACUGGUUGUAAGCUUCUUUUAUUAAGGCAUAAAGUGAGGCACGUGUGCCUUUUUGUCUGUACUUUAUGAAUAAGGAUCGGCUAACUCCGUGCCAGCGGCCGCGGUAAUGCGGGGGAUCCGAGCGUUAUCCGGAUUUAUUGGGUUUAAAGGGAGCGUAGAUGGGUUGUUAAGUCAGUUGUGAAAGUUUGCGGCUCAACCGUAAAAUUGCAAUUGAUACUGGUAGUCUUGAGUACAGGUGAGGUAGGCGGAAUUCGUGGUGUAGCGGUGAAAUGCUUAGAUAUCACGAAGAACUUCGAUUGCGAAGGCAGCUUACUAAACUGCAACUGACAUUGAUGCUCGAAAGUGUGGGUAUCAAACAGGAUUAGAUACCCCGGUAGUC
rnacentral:rRNA from 1 species